GAACCUCUGGAUCCUGUGCAAAGGCAAGGUGUGUGGAAUAAACACCUGCUGUGCACCCAGCUGGACUCUACAGCACCUACUGUGUAUUCACACUCCUGCAGGAACCCGUGUUCUUAAAGAUGAAUAAUGCUCCACCCCCCAUGCUGGGUCUUCUGGGGAUGAGCCACAGCCUGGAGGAGCUGAGGAGGCCACAUCACAUGAGGAAGCUUUACUGUUUCCCCUUCUCCUGAAAUGUGUCUGGGAUGGAGAGUGUGGAGAGUGGGCCCACCUUUAUCUGGGUCCACUCAGGCUGCUGCAGAGACUACCCCAGACUGGGUGGCUGAUAGACAAGACAUUCAUUUUCCACACUUCCUGAGACUGAGAAGUCUGAGAUGAAGAAACCUAGAAGCAAGGAAGCUGCCACCAUGAUGCAGCGGGGAGUCCGAGGCCCUGGGAGGUCAUAUGACUCAUUCAAGGUCAUCCUGCUGUGGCAGAGAUGCGAUGAAGCCCUGGCUUUGCCGACAAGAGAGAUAAAUUCUAUAAGGGGAGCUGCAGCCCUGUUCCGUGGCCCUGUGCAGCUUUGGCUGAUGUUCAGAUCUGUCCAGGGAAGAGGGGACUGUGUGGCAGAGGAGGUUCCAGGGGACCCUCUUCCCUGGGCCCACCUUGGGAACCUGAGUUCAGGACCCCAACCCCAGGUGCCAGAGUCUUCCCUGCCCUGUACAGCCCUGCUCAUGCCAUGGUCUCCUGUGGACGUUCCCUCCUUCCCACGUUGGCGGUAUUGCUGUCCAAGCUUUGCAGGGGAGGAAUCUGAGGAAUUGAGAAGUCAAGUAACACACCCAAUAGGAUAACUAGGCCUUCUUGGCAGCCAACCUCGAAGCACCACAUCGGGCUUUGAAAUGUGCGGGGCCUUUGAGAUUCAGCGCAUCUGAAUCUGAAUUUAUGCCGUCUCACUUGCUGGAAUCUACUGAUCUGUCCACUGUUCCUGGAAGAAAUACUUUGUUUUCAUGUGCCAGUUGCCUUUCCAGCCUGACUGUCAGCCCAAGGUCGCAGGAGAAGAUCUGAUUGCAUGUCCUUGAUUUUGCUGCUCCCAUUCCGAGAACCAGCUUCCUCCUCUGGAAGGUAAGGUUAUGGUAAUGGCAUCAUCUUUGGAUCCUUGCAGAAAGGAAGUGCCAUGUCAGUGUUCUCCAAACUCCUGACUCAAAAUAAUCCUCUUUUAAGGAACAAGUUCCUAAUUACAGGAAAUUCUAUAGGACUGAUGGACUGAUGGCACCUAAGUUUUUCGAAAUAUGGUCCCUGCACCAGCAGCAACGGCAUCAUCUGGGAAUUUGAUAAAAUGCACAUUCUCAAGUUCCCAUCAGAAACCCUGAGAGUGGGGCCCAACAAUCUGUACUUUAACAAUCCCUGGAGGGAGUUCCCAUCGUGGCUCAGUGGAAACGAGUCUGACUAGCGUCCAUGAGGAUUCAGGUUUGAUCCCUGCCCUUGUCAGUGGGUUAAGAAUUUGGCAUUGCCAUGAGCUGUAGGACAUGGUGUGGAUCCUCCAUUGUGGCUGUGGUGUAGGCGGGCAGCUACAGCUCCGAUUGGACCCCUAGCCUGGGAAUCUCCACACUCCGCAGGUGCAGCCCUAAAAAGACAAAUAAAACAAAACAAAACAACAACCCCCCCCCAAAAAAAUAGGCUCUCUAGGCAAUUCUCAUGCCCCCUAAGUUUGAGACUCUCUGAGCUAGGCUUUUCCUUUCCCUGGGCUGAGAUGUGGGGAUGAUCAUCAUGAAUGGGGAUGUGUGCUCAAGGACCACCUCCAGGGAAGGCAUUAGAAAUGGACGUUGGAGGGCAACUAGCUUCUGGGUAUUGGGGGAGGGGGGGAGGCAUUCAGAUGCCAGGACAGUGCUCAGGAGUAGGGAUGCUGAAGGCAGAUCUGCCAAAGUCUGACCUGUUCCCAGCAGGGCCACAGACUGGAAGAGUGACCCCUGAGAGCACAGUCUAGAUUCAGAUUUGACCUUGACUGAAGUAUCACAAAUGUUUAUCUGUGUUGGGUAAGAGAAAUCAGGAUGCCCAUCCAUUCAUUUAUCCAUCCAUCCAUCCACACCCAUCCAUCCAUCAUCCACCCUUUCUUUCAACUAAAAUGUAUUUGAAUUAAAGUCAAAUUAUUUGAACUUUAUUCUGUGCCAAGCAUUCGUCUAUGCCCUUGGCUCACAGGAAUGAGGCAACCAGAGAUACCAACUUGUAUUCUUUGAUUAAUUAAAAAAGUUAAGAGGUUGAAAAUAUACUUUAAUGAAAACACAGUCCCUCUGAGUGUCACUAUCUGAAAUACUGAAUUAAAUAUUUCUGUGUGGCAUAGCACAGGAGCAAUAUUUACUCUUAAGGUCUAUUCCCAUCUUUGAGGCGCUCAGAACACUGGGUGUAGGAAUUAGACAUGUGGUGGGUAGAAGGUCAUCCGGGGAAAGUCACCAAUAACCUCACUAAAUUGUUUAACUCUCAGAGUUUCCCACCUCUUCUUAUUCAUUUUCUGAUUUAAUCCUGAAAACAAUACUGUGAAGUCUGAGGAAAUUCAGACUCAGAAUUUAAAUGACUUGCCCCAAGUUACAAAGGAAAUGAGCCACAGAACCAUGACGAAAUUGGAAUCUUCAGAUUCUACCAAACCCUGAGCCCACCACGCUGACUGCUAUUCAGAACAGUGGACAGUCAGGUGCUGGGUAACCCAGGUCCUGUUUUGGGCAAGGGGAGAUCUUUUUAGGAUAUCUAGGCUGCCCACCCCACCCGAGUGUAGGGGCAAGCGUGGAGCCAUGUCUACCACCUAACCCAGAAAGCUGCUUAGGAAACCCACGAUCCACUUCCAAAGACCAUCCAUUUUCAAACACGUGCCACUCCUCAGAAACACUGGUGUCACCACCAGGCAUGGCUACUCUCAGAUCAGAAUAAGAAACCCUCAGCCUCCUAACACUGGUGAUUCCCAAGAAUUUAACACCUCACCGGUGCUGACAGGUUAUUGAGAAAAAAACAAACAAACAAAAAAACCAACAAAAAACCCCCCAAAAAAACCAACCAAACAAAAAAACACACCAAAACACACAGUGGUAGUAAAAUUGUGGCUCUUUGAACAAUAUUAAAACACUUCCGCUACCUUUCAUAUAGAAUUAAUUAACAUAAAACCCAGCAUCCUCAUUGCUGCAGAGCCCUAAAGUGGUUGCCAGAAUUUAAUUAGACUUAACCUUUUUUCCUACCCCAGUACCACUUUAUAAUAACUGCAAAUCAUUAUUAAUUCCUUUGGUGUUCACUGUAAUAACAUUAAUCAUGAUGAACUUCUUUCUGUAGUAAUGUGUAUGUAAUAUGUAAUUCCAUAGCAAUUUAGUAUUAGUUAAGGCUAAAUUGAAAUUAAUUUCACCAAAAGAUACUAUUUGUUAUUGGAUACUGUAUAUUCAUAAAAUAAUAUUUUAAAGCAAUUUAUAUGGAGGUAGCCAGAUGAAGAGGCAUUUGGCAAACCUGCUGAAAGUUCAGAGACAGAACUAUUUGCUGCUGAUUACUGGAGCAUGCCUGAUGGCUGGCGUCACAUAUCCCAAGGUACUUGAAAUAGCAAAUCAGAAAAUGGGUAAGCUAUGAUGGGAUGGUCCUUUGAGAUACAGUACCUUAUCAAUCUGAAGGCAUAGCAUUGGACAAGAAUACAUUUUGGAGUCAUUUCCAGAACCAUGCCUAUGAUUUAUUUUCCCAGAUCUCAAGAUUCAAGUCAUGUUUUUAGCCUCUCCCAGGGUCAGUGUUGUCUUCUGUAAAACGGUUACAUUAUCCCCUCGUGGUGGUUGCUCUUCCGGGCUUCCCAGGAUAUGAUCAAUUUGAGUGAUUUGGAAAAUCACAGUAACUGAGAAUGUAUGCAAUGUUAGAAAGAGAAGCAAUGGUCUAUGUGUGUUUUAUCUUGUUUAAUUUCGUUACUUUGUGACGGGAUGUUUGAAAGUGGAGAUGCUGAGAAGUUUCGGAAAGGAAGGUCUUUUUUAGAUAACAGCUGUCCUCAUCACUAAUUUCUAGGCGUCCCCUUGUCUCAACCUUUGCCCUCUGCUGGCCUCUCUAGAUACUCUUAUGUUGACAGACCUCUGGGGACUUUCCUCGGUUCGUUUGUCCAUUCAUCUCACCAGACACAAAAGUGAGUAAGACUUAACUCUGCCUUUGGGAAGCUGGUGGUCUUGGGGCUGUGACCAUAAAAGGAUAUUUAAAGUAAAUUCUGAUAAGGGCAGUAGACAUAUGCUGAGGUCAGGGGUGAUAUUAAAAAUAAGUAAUAGCGCAUAAGCACAGAAGGCCUAAGCUCUGACCAAUCAGCAUGGUGGCUGGCAGGUGGAUGGACACUGGCUGGGCUCAGGGCAUGAUGGGACCCCACAAGAGAGUUCUCUAGGUUGAUGGGCUGGAAGGUGGGAAUCAGGGAAACCUCCCUAGAAAAAGAAAGAGUCGUGGAUGAAACUGGGCUUUGGCCAAGAACAGGGAACAGCAGAGGAGCAGCUCAGAGACAGGAGGCCCCUUGCUGUGUAUGAGACAGCAACUAGGAGCAAUUUGUGCUUAUGGGGGACACAGUCUCCUGAGAAGGAGGGUACGGCCCCGCUGGACCAGUGCACGGGACUCUCACAGAGGGCUUUGUAAGAUGUCCUGGGGGAGCUUGGCUUUCAAAGGCUGAGGGCAGGGGUUGGAGGUGAUGCAAUGGGCAGAAGCCUUGCUUCUGCAUUUAUUUUGAGCACUAAAAAAAAAAAAAAAAAAAAAAAAAAA
rnacentral:lncRNA from 1 species